GACGAACGCUGGCGGCGUGCCUAAUACAUGCAAGUUGAGCGCUGAAGGCUGGUACUUGUACCAACUGGAUGAGCAGCGAACGGGUGAGUAACGCGUGGGGAAUCUGCCUUUGAGCGGGGGACAACAUUUGGAAACGAAUGCUAAUACCGCAUAAAAACUUUAAACACAAGGUUUAAGUUUGAAAGAUGCAAUUGCAUCACUCUAAGAUGAUCCCGCGUUGUAUUAGCUAGUUGGUGAGGUAAAGGCUCACCAAGGCGAUGAUACAUAGCCGACAUGCGAGGGUGAUCGGCCACAUUGGGACUGAGACACGGCCCAAACUCCUACGGGAGGCAGCAGUAGGGAAUCUUCGGCAAUGGACGAAAGUCUGACCGAGCAACGCCGCGUGAGUGAAGAAGGUUUUCGGAUCGUAAAACUCUGUUGGUAGAGAAGAACGUUGGUGAGAGUGGAAAGCGCAUCAAGUGACGGUAACUACCCAGAAAGGGACGGCUAACUACGUG
rnacentral:rRNA from 1 species